AGAAAUACUUUACCUUUAUUUUACUAAAAUGCCUUUUUAACUUUCCCUUUAUUUUCUAUUUUUACCAGAAAAAUACAUGAUCUGAUACCAGAGAGAAAGGUUGUAUAAGGGUUAGAGUCCUGAGUUUGUUUGUCCUUUUGGUCUGGGCUAGAGUCCUAGAAGCUGGGUUAGAGUCCUAGAAUUUGUUGAAUAAGGCCUUUGGUCUGGGCUAGAGUCCUAGAAGCUGGGUUAGAGUCCUAGAAUAAGUUGAAUAAGGCCUUUGGUCUGGGCUAGAGUCCUAGAAGCUGGGUUAGAGUCCUAGAAUAUUUUCCUUUAGGUCGGUUUGUAGUCCCGACUUGGGUUCCAGAGAGACUGUUGAUCUGAUCUUAAAUACAUUGCACUUUCAAUUUUACUUACUAAAAAGCCUUUUUAACUUUCAAUUUAAUUUUCUCUUAAAUACAUUGCACUUUCUAUUUUA